rnacentral:misc_RNA from 1 species
CCCGUUGCAUCGGAAAAGACUGAUAACGCAAAUAUAGGGUAUACUCGUGUAAUUAUUAUAUGAAUGACGGUUGCUUUAAAAUCAUUAAUGGAUAGUUCGCAGGUAACUAAAAAAAUUUGUAACAUGACUCAGAAAUUUCUCAAGGUUCAGAUAGCUGGCUUCUAACAGAUUCAUCAGAUUGAUUGCAGAGAGAAGGUUGGAAGAGGGGAAAAAAAAUCUUUUCUAUUAUAAUUAUAAUGCAUGCUAUAUGAUAGUCCAAAAUAACGACAAAAUAAAAAAUUUCAAAAAAUCUGUCUUCGAUCAAGUUUUAAAUGACUACAGACUAAUUUAAAACUCAAAUAUCUCAUUUUUUUCCAUUUGUCUGUUUUUCUCAGCUACCAAACAGAAACUAGCCUACUCAACUACUAAGAUCCAAAACCAAAAAGAAGAAGAAGAAGCGCACGUCCAGUCAACCAAUAAACACUCAAGCUGUCAGACACUAAUUUUCAAAUAAACCAGAAUUUACCAGAGGGAG